UACGUAGGGUGCGAGCGUUAAUCGGAAUACUGGGCGUAAAGCGUGCGCAGGCGGUGAUGUAAGACAGGUGUGAAAUCCCCGGGCUUAACCUGGGAACUGCAUUUGUGACUGCAUCGCUGGAGUGCGGAAGAGGGAAGCGGAAUUUCCGGUGUAGCGGUGAAAUGCGUAGAUAUCGGAAGGAACACCAGUGGCGAAAGCGGCUUCCUGGUCCAGCACCGACGUUCAGGCACGAAAGCGUGGGGGAUCAAACAGG
rnacentral:rRNA from 1 species